rnacentral:rRNA from 1 species
UGCAGUCGAGCGAACCACUUCGGUGGGAAGCGGCGAACGGGUGAGUAACACGUAGGUGAUCUGCCCAUCAGACGGGGACAACGAUUGGAAACGAUCGCUAAUACCGGAUAGGACGAAAGUUUAAAGAUGCUCCUGGCAUCACUGAUGGAUGAGCCUGCGGCGCAUUAGCUAGUUGGUGGGGUAAAGGCCUACCAAGGCGACGAUGCGUAGCCGACCUGAGAGGGUGAACGGCCACACUGGGACUGAGACACGGCCCAGACUCCUACGGGAGGCAGCAGUAGGGAAUCUUCGGCAAUGGGCGAAAGCCUGACCGAGCAACGCCGCGUGAAUGAAGAAGGCCUUCGGGUUGUAAAAUUCUGUUAUAAGGGAAGAAAGGUGAUAGGAGGAAAUGACUAUCAAUUGACGGUACCUUAUGAGAAAGCCACGGCUAACUACGUGCCAGCAGCCGCGGUAAUACGUAGGUGGCAAGCGUUAUCCGGAAUUAUUGGGCGUAAAGAGCGCGCAGGUGGUUAAUUUAGUCUGAUGUGAAAGCCCACGGCUUAACCGUGGAGGGUCAUUGGAAACUGGUUGACUUGAGUGCAGAAGAGGGAAGUGGAAUUCCAUGUGUAGCGGUGAAAUGCGUAGAGAUAUGGAGGAACACCAGUGGCGAAGGCGGCUUCCUGGUCUGCAACUGACACUGAGGCGCGAAAGCGUGGGGAGCAAACAGGAUUAGAUACCCUGGUAGUCCACGCCGUAAACGAUGAGUGCUAAGUGUUGGGGGUCGAACCUCAGUGCUGAAGUUAACGCAUUAAGCACUCCGCCUGGGGAGUACGGUCGCAAGACUGAAACUCAAAGG